rnacentral:rRNA from 1 species
CUAAUACCGCAUAAGCCCACGACCCGGCAUCGGGUAGAGGGAAAAGGAGCAAUCCGCUUUGAGAUGGCCUCGCGUCCGAUUAGCUAGUUGGUGGGGUAAUGGCCCACCAAGGCGACGAUCGGUAGCCGGACUGAGAGGUUGAACGGCCACAUUGGGACUGAGACACGGCCCAGACUCCUACGGGAGGCAGCAGUGGGGAAUAUUGCACAAUGGGGGAAACCCUGAUGCAGCGACGCCGCGUGGAGGAAGAAGGUCUUCGGAUUGUAAACUCCUGUUGUUGAGGAAGAUAAUGACGGUACUCAACAAGGAAGUGACGGCUAACUACGUGCCAGCAGCCGCGGUAAAACGUAGGUCACAAGCGUUGUCCGGAAUUACUGGGUGUAAAGGGAGCGCAGGCGGGAAGGCAAGUUGGAAGUGAAAUCCAUGGGCUCAACCCAUGAACUGCUUUCAGAACUGUUUUUCUUGAGUAGUGCAGAGGUAGGCGGAAUUCCCGGUGUAGCGGUGGAAUGCGUAGAUAUCGGGAGGAACACCAGUGGCGAAGGCGGCCUACUGGGCACCAACUGACGCUGAGGCUCGAAAGUGUGGGUAGCAAACAGGAUUAGAUACCCUGGUAGUCCACACUGUAAAC